UUGACCAUAUUUGAAUACAUUGGACUGGUUUUGGCCAUUUUCCAGUUCAAUGGUUUAAACUAUAAAUAAAAUAUUGAAAGAUUUUCAAAAAGAGUCUAGGAAUGAUUGGCUUCAAAUCUAUCUUCAGUUAUCUAUACUAUUAAAAUUGAAUUCCUACUAGGAUUCUGUCCGUACUUUUGAAGUUAUUUACAAUGGCAUACCAUUGUUUUUUUUUAUUAACAUUAAUUUUAUUGAUUAAAUUCGGCCAGCAUAAUAAACCAAUCAGAAUGAAGAAUAUAAUAGCCAAUAACAAUGAAUGCAACAGCAUUUAUCAGCGUUACUUAUGCCAAAAAUAAAACCGAACUCCAUAAUACAAUUAUUAACGUUUGUGUUGAAAGCAUAUACUCGUAACUAUACAAACCAUAGAAGCAUAAUUCUAAUAUAUACAAUUAUUAUUUAACCUUAUUAAUUGUUGUAACACUUAUUGUUUGACUUAGUGCUUAUGAUAUGUUUAACAUGUUUGAGAGCAAAGCACUAUGAAUUUUUUUUACAAAGAUCAUGAAAUAUAAAGUAGUCCAAAUGAAUUUAUAAUGUGAAUAACGAAAUAAAGAAUAGCAUUCAUCAUUUUAAGAUAUUUUCAUUUUUUGUUUGUUAAUUCAAGAAUUUAAAUUUUGGGUAACAA
rnacentral:lncRNA from 1 species